GAGAGUAUAGCUCAGGUGGUAGAGUACAUGCUUAGCACGCAUGAGGGCUUGGGCUCAAUCCCCAGUACUUCCU
rnacentral:tRNA from 1 species